GAUGAACGCUGGCGGCGUGCCUAAUACAUGCAAGUCGAACGCACAGCGAAAGGUGCUUGCACCUUUCAAGUGAGUGGCGAACGGGUGAGUAACACGUGGAUAACCUACCUCAAGGUUGGGGAUAACAUUUGGAAACAGAUGCUAAUACCGAAUAAAACUUCGUAUCGCAUGAUACAAGGUUAAAAGGCGCUACGGCGUCACCUAGAGAUGGAUCGCGGUGCAUUAGUUAGUUGGUGGGUAAAGGCCGUACCAAGACAAUGAUGCAUAGCCGAGUUGAGAGACUGAUCGGCCACAUUGGGACUGAGACA
rnacentral:rRNA from 1 species